AUUGAACGCUGGCGGCAGGCUUAACACAUGCAAGUCGAACGGUAGCAGGAGAAAGCUUGCUUUCUUGCUGACGAGUGGCGGACGGGUGAGUAAUGCUUGGGAAUCUGGCUUAUGGAGGGGGAUAACGACGGGAAACUGUCGCUAAUACCGCGUAUUAUCGGAAGAUGAAAGUGCGGGACUGAGAGGCCGCAUGCCAUAGGAUGAGCCCAAGUGGGAUUAGGUAGUUGGUGGGGUAAAUGCCUACCAAGCCUGCGAUCUCUAGCUGGUCUGAGAGGAUGACCAGCCACACUGGAACUGAGACACGGUCCAGACUCCUACGGGAGGCAGCAGUGGGGAAUAUUGCGCAAUGGGGGGAACCCUGACGCAGCCAUGCCGCGUGAAUGAUGAAGGCCUUAGGGUUGUAAAGCUCUUUCAGCUGGGAAGAUAAUGACGGUACCAGCAGAAGAAGCCCCGGCUAACUCCGUGCCAGCAGCCGCGGUAAUACGGAGGGGGCUAGCGUUGUUCGGAAUUACUGGGCGUAAAGCGCACGUAGGCGGACCAGAAAGUUGGGGGUGAAAUCCCGGGGCUCAACCCCGGAACUGCCUUCAAAACUAUUGGUCUGGAGUUCGAGAGAGGUGAGUGGAAUUCCGAGUGUAGAGGUGAAAUUCGUAGAUAUUCGGAGGAACACCAGUGGCGAAGGCGGCUCACUGGCUCGAUACUGACGCUGAGGUGCGAAAGCGUGGGGAGCAAACAG
rnacentral:rRNA from 1 species